rnacentral:rRNA from 1 species
UGGGUAACCUGCCCAGGAGAUCGGGAUAACACCUGGAAACAGAUGCUAAUACCGGAUAACAACAGAUGAUGCCUAUCAACUGUUUAAAAGAUGGUUCUGCUAUCACUCUUGGAUGGACCUGCGGUGCAUUAGCUAGUUGGUAGGGUAACGGCCUACCAAGGCGAUGAUGCAUAGCCGAGUUUAGAGACUGAUCGGCCACAUUGGGACUGAGACACGGCCCAAACUCCUACGGGAGGCAGCAGGU